rnacentral:rRNA from 1 species
AUUGAACGCUGGCGGCAGGCCUAACACAUGCAAGUCGAGCGAGCGGCGGACGGGUGAGUAAUGUCUGGGAAACUGCCUGAUGGAGGGGGAUAACUACUGGAAACGGUAGCUAAUACCGCAUACCAUCAGAUGUUCCCCGAUGGGAUUAGCUAGUAGGUGGGGUAACGGCUCACCAGGGCGACGCUCCCUAGCUGGUCUGAGAGGAUGACCAGCCACACGGGAACUGAGACAAGGUCCAGACUCCUAAGGGAGGCAGCAGUGGGGAAUAUUGCACAAUGGGCGCAAGCCUGAUGCAGCAAUGCCGAGUGUAUGAAGAAGGCCUUCGGGUUGUAAAGUACUUUCAGCGGGGAGGCGUUACCCGCAGAAGAAGCACCGGCUAACUCCGUGCCAGCAGCCGCGGUAAUAC